CUGGAAGUCAAAAUGUUGCUGUGUUUAUGUGAAGCCCCACGAAUUUGACGUGAGCAGUUCUGACACAGACGAUGAGUGUGAGCACUGUUCAGGCCACGUGGAGAAGAAGAACAGUCACCAGCCGGGCGGUGAGACUCAGUCAAAUAAUGGAUCGGCUGAGAAGUGAAAAGUACAUAUACGAAUCCCUGUGAGUGUUUUCUGGGGGCGUCGAGUAAGUGGAGUCCUCUAUUCCUUGAUGUGGAAAGAAGGAGUAUUCCUGCAUUAUUUAAACGACUUGCAGUUUUAAAUGUGUUUCCUUAUCUUAAGCACCAAAUCCACCAUUCAUCCAUAAUAUACAUUUAAUUUGUUCCUUCAGCUGAAUCUCUUGGCCAAAGGACAAAUUCUAUGCAAAAGCUUAUUUGUUGACUUGUCUUCCCUCGGAUUUUAAAGGAUUGUUUAUGAAUAGUGUGUGGAUCCUGUAUUAUCACUCUUUGGUGUACAUUAUUAUCAUGCUGAUUUUUGGUGCUUGUGGUCCUAUGCCAAAAAAACAAAACAAUACAAAAAACAAAACAAAAGAUGCAAGGAAAUACAGAUUAAAAUGUAAAAGUGUAUGGCCUGUGGAUCAGAAAAUAUGCUAUACUGUUUAAAUUUGUGAGGAGAGAAUGUGUAAAUGGAUAUAUGUAUAGGUAUAAAAAAGGCAGAGAUUUCCUUAUCUGAUUGUCAAAGUAAUGCUGUGAGUUGCAGUAUUUUGGACUUGUUUUUAGUAUGUGGAGAUGAGGAGAGGGUGUUAUAGCAAAGGAUAUUUUUGAUAGGAAGAUUUCACGAAACAUAAAAUGUUACUGGAUGGCUGUCUUGUGGCACUGUACAUAUUCCAGAGAGCAGCGGUAGAAAAGAAAUUCCAAAGAUGCAUUCGUUGUAUAUUAUGUGAUUCAUGUUUCCAUGUUAGCGAUGAGCCCCAUUGUAGUUGUUUGCUGUCUUGGAUUGUCUGAUGUAUUAUUACAUUGCCUUUUAAAUUAUAGUAUUUCUGUUGGUGAUAAUUUUUUUUUUUUUUUUUUUUUUCUCUCCUUCUUCUUUAAGAUACUUUUAUGGAUGUAAGGACAGCAGUUCCAGAUGAAACAUGUUAAUUCUUUAGAUGCAAAACUAUACCUCGCUGAUAUUUUUAUUUCCUGAACAAAAGGCUUUAAUAAAUACUGGAAGGAAUAGUUCUCCUUUGGCCUCACACUUUUAUUGCAGAGUUUAUGUACAUAUCAGCUCUUUCUUUAGUAUGUAAAAGCAUAUAUCAAAAUUAAAAGUUAAUUUUUUUUUUCCCCCUCUCACGAUAAAAGAAAACAAAAUUAGAAAGAAAGAAAGAAAAAAAAUUAAAUCAAACUGUUUCCUUACUGUGAACUUAUCUACGUUGAAACUGAAGUAAAAGGAAAGCACAACUGAUGCUAUGGAAAGAAGGCUCACUCACAGCAAAAUGUUGAUUCCAGUUGUGGUGCUGCUGUAAGGCUGGUUGAGAAUGUAGCUGCGACAGAGGGAAGUGAGAUCAAAAAGUGAAAAAUAAUCUGUUUGGAAUGAAAUUGCCAAAGGGUUAGUGUCUGGUAAGGGACACUAAAUCCACUUGCUGUUCAUUUACUGAAUAAAUUUGACAAGCACGUUCUUCACCCAUGAAGCGAGGCUGGGAUUUGCAUGAGCAUCUUUCCUAGAGGAGAGUUUUAAGGUAAUAUCUGAUGAAAAAUUGAUAUGGUAGUAUGAAAUAUUUAGAAAAAAACCUGUAGUCAGUUUUAUAUGCACAAUUUAUACCUUGAAUAUAUCUCUUGGCAUUCAGUUGUAGCUUGAUUUUUGUCUUGAAAUUUAAGCCUUUGUGAUUCCUCCUCUUCUUGAACAGUAUUCAUGCUUCCUUUUUUUUUUUCUUUUUGUCUCAAGGAGUGUUUUGAUGAUCUAGGUUGGACUUGGGAUAACUUGAGUUCAUGGUAUGAUUAGGCUUGCUCUACUUAAAAAAAAAGAAAAAGAAAAAACAACACAAGGCAUUGAAUGAUUGUGUAUAUUGUAAAUGUCAUAAUAGUUGUUGAAUAUUAAUUUAACCCAUUUUCUUUUAAACACAAUUAUUACCUGGAAAAUGUAGAGUGUCUCGUAAAAUUAAUGAUGGUGAUAAUAGAAAAAAAAAAAAAAAAAAAAAAAA
rnacentral:lncRNA from 1 species